AUCCUAACUGUAUUCUGAUAAUGUGAAUUCAAUUCUUCUAUCCUAUAUCUUUUGCUAGAGCUAUAACCUGUUGGCUAAAACCAGUAUUUAGAAGAGCUUUCAGACAUGGAGAAAAAGGAGAUGUGAUGUAUGCAGUUAGACACAAUAUAAAUUCCUUGGCCCUGAGACUGACUUAAAUGGAAUCUGCCUAGUACUCCCUCAAGGAAAUGUUUUCAGCAGAUUUUGUUUUGGAAGUGGUUAAUUCUGAUGAGGUAACUGGAGGAGUAGCUAAAGUGAGACAUAAAAUUCAAGGCUAUCAAGAUUUGAAGACCUGGGUAAUUUGGGGAAUACAUUAGCUAACAUAACUUCCAAAGCGGUGCAGGACUCUUACUCUAUAUUUAACUUUGAUUGCUUUAGGAGAUGUAAAAAAAAGUUUUGUCCUUGUUAAUAUUUGGAUUGCCUUUGAACUAUUUAAUAUUUCUUCUUUUUCUCUUCCCUUCUUUCUCUUCCCACCAUGUGUUUUCAACUUUACAGGAAAAAAAAAAAAAAAAAAAAAGCAAUUACUGCAAGAGAACAGAGAGCUGAAGAAUCUGAAACAAUUCCUGCAUCUUCACCCAAAAGUAUUCUGCAAUUCUGAGAUUUCAGAGUGGGAGGAAGGAGAGAUCACAAAUAAGAGUGGAUGUGGCUGGAAGGGAAGGAGAGCACAAGAGCCCUAAUUCAGGAUGGACAGCAGGGCCUGCCUUACCGCUGAAGUGGAAAGCACGCUGGCUUGGCUUGGCAUCACCUAAUCAGGGCGCUGCGCGGGGCGGAAGAGCCCUCAGGGCCCCGGGCCGUGUGUGCGAGACAAUAAAGGGCCAUAGCGCGAACCUGCACCGCCUCGGCACUGCCAGAGCCCUGCUUCCCCCCUCCCUGCGGCGGGCAGAGCCGCGGCGGCGAGUCCCGGCGCCCCGCCCCGCGGCGUAAGAAGGGAGCAGCCCGCCCCGCCCCGCCAGCAGGAGGCGUUGGGGGGGGGGCGGGGGAAGAGGGGUGCGCUCGCAGCCGCCGCGGCGCUGGCGGGACCGUUAAGCUGCUGCCCCGCGGCGGGCGUGGGCGUUCCAGCGCGCGGCGUCAGUUAACGGCCUGCUCGUUUUGGCGGGAGCGCCCCGCCCCUCGCUCCGGCGGGAAAAGCCUCUGGUUUGUUCCCGAAGGAGGAGGCGGAGAGGCUCUGGCAGCCUGAACUGGUUUAGGGAGUUCAGAUCCCUACACGCCGGGGUACUGUAAGCACUCACUGCCUUGCUCUGUCAGAGGCACUCGUGGAUGAGCAAUGCAUUAAUUAUUCAUGUAAUUUUGACGAGGAAUUUUGGUGCUCCGCAGGGUAGUGAGAUUCUGUGGUGUCUGACCCUUUUUGGAACAUAAAUUUACAUCCCCUGAAAGGGCAGCUGGCAAGGAAAAGGCAAAUAGUGUGUUGAUAGACGAUUAAUCAUUUAUUUUCCUCUGAAUCAGUAAAUGUGAAAUUCCAGCACAGCACGCCUCAGGGGAGGUCAAGAGGAGGAGGGAACAGAUCACUAACUAUGGUACAAGAGGCCCAAACUCACCUCCAGUGAAGUCGGCAGCAGAGUUUCUGUCAGUUCAAAAGCAGUUUAUUAACUCCAAGAUUGUGUUUGGGCCAAGUCCCUGUCACAUCAACAGCAUGUGUCUGUCCAAAGAAGCGCAGCAAGCA
rnacentral:lncRNA from 1 species